rnacentral:misc_RNA from 1 species
GAUGAAGAACGUAGCGAAAUGCGAUAAGUAAUGUGAAUUGCAGAAUUCAGUGAAUCAUCGAAUCUUUGAACGCACAUUGCGCCCGCCAGCAUUCUGGCGGGCAUGCCUGUUCGAGCGUCAUUUCAACCCUCAAGCUCUGCUUGGUGUUGGGGCCCUACGGUUGACGUAGGCCCUUAAAGGUAGUGGCGGACCCUCUCGGAGCCUCCUUUGCGUAGUAACUAACGUCUCGCACUGGGAUUCGGAGGGACUCUUGCCGUAAAACCCCCAAAUUUUUAAAGGUUGACCUCGGAUCAGGUAGGAAUACCCGCUGAGCUUAAGCAUAUCAAUAAGCGGAGGA